UACGUAGGGUGCGAGCGUUGUCCGGAAUUAUUGGGCGUAAAGGGCUCGUAGGCGGUCUGUCGCGUCGGGAGUGAAAACUCAGGGCUUAACCCUGAGCCUGCUUCCGAUACGGGCAGACUAGAGGUAUGCAGGGGAGAACGGAAUUCCCGGUGUAGUGGUGAAAUGCGUAGAUAUCGGGAGGAACACCAGUGGCGAAGGCGGCGAUCUGGGAAGAUACUGACGCUGAGGUGCGAAAGCGUGGGGAGCAAACAGGG
rnacentral:rRNA from 1 species